rnacentral:lncRNA from 1 species
GGCGACUCUGACACAGCCAACUGUGUUUUGAGAAAUAUCUCAGGAGAAGAAUGCAGUCCUCUCCCCAAUAGUCUGUUCCAAAUAGGUCCCAAACGUCAGGAUAUUUAAUGACCCUGACCCUGAGUGAGCCGCUGCACCUCCACUUCCACCCCAGAGCGCCUUUGUAAUCCGGAAACAGAGAGCAACCGCAGCGAGGGUAUUCGGGUCUGAGCAGCACCGGGAACAAAAGAGGAAGAAGCCCUAUCCAUACACCGGCAGCUGGCAGCGCACAGGAAGCGCGAUUUCCCUGCCUGCUGACUUUAUACUGCCAAAAAACUUGGUGAUAUUCUUGGAAAGAAGUCUGUGAUUCUAAAUGUGGGGAAUCUGCAUCUCGGUGACCAGAAACUACUGGUAAGUGCUGAUAAUCCUCUUACCUACCAAAGAAAGCAGAGAUCUACUUGAGAAUGACAGGAUGGAUAUAGCAGAAAUGCCUAAGGAAGUGUCUAAGCCACUCGAAUUUGAAAAUCAAAUUCACUGAAAAUCAGAUGAAAGUUUUUGAUUCAUACAUAGUCAUCCUGGAUAUAAAUGAUAAUAUAAUGGCUUUUGGUACAAACAUUUUGUUUUGGAAAUUCUGGAAAACAGCUUAAUUGGUUCAUUGUUUAAAGCCAUCAGAUUUGGAUAUUGGUAGUAACUUUAACUUUAUUAGAUUAGUUUCAACAACCAUUCCUCCAACUCCCAGAACUAAAGGAGAGCACUCAAGCAAUAAAUAUUCUGAAUUGCUAUUGAAGAAACCUUGGAGCAGAGAACCAGAGCUGCCACUUCUUAGUGGUGAGCAUGGGACAGAACAGCUCUAAGCAAGAGAAAGCAUUGGAUGCAAAUGUCAGACCUUGCAUAUUGGACCAUGACAUACAGGGUAGAGCCCAGCCUGCAGAACAUACCCUUCACCACCUUGAAUUCUUCGAGUGAUCCUCCUUGAUCUGAUGACAUCUUUAAGGUAGAGUUCUCCUACACUUUCUGCACAGUCUUGCAGAGCAUACAGAAUAUACCUGCUGCUCCAAAAUUACAGUAAUGCUUGAUUUUGAAAAAAAAAUGACAGGAACAGCAUGAGAUAGAAAAUUAAGAGUGGAAGAGCUCGGGAGCUAUUUCAGAGUCCUAGUUGAAAUGAAGAUCCAGAACUAUAAUGCAAUACAGGUGACUCUCAGCCAGGUGUCUAGUCCUAUUAGAGAUUAGAACUGUGAUUGCCUAACCAGAACAACAGAACUGACCACCCUGCUUAAAUGAAGAGGUAAAAAUUCGUGUAGGGAGGAAUGAUCCCAUUGGCAAAAAAUUCACCUCCAAGAAUUAGUAUGUAAUUAUUUGUUACCUACUGAUGGAAUUCUAAGCUGGAAGAAGAUUCUAAUCUACAAUGUCACUAUCAGAGUCCCUCCCAUGUCCCCCAAAAUAAGCUAUCCUUGUCCUCCAGCACAAGCCUCACCCUGCAUGCUUUGAAAAUGCUCUGGUUUUCUGAAGGCCUCCUUUUUGAUCCAGGUGACCAGGAAUACCCACAGAGACCUUUAUCAAACAAUUUAGCACUUCUGACCAGGUCUUAGGGCUCUCCAUACCUCCUAUUUCUUCCUGACCAGAGAUCUGGCACUGAGAGGCACUGUUGUCCUAUGUUAGUGAGUGCAAAAUGCAGUGGUGUUCAUUGAUACUAACUUUGAACUGAUUCUGGGAGUAGUGAUCAGGGUUUAACAGGCUCAGUGUCAUCCUGAGCCUCCCUGUAAUGGUGAAUAACUUCUUUGAAAGUGCAAGGAGGAUGCUAUCAGGAGCUACAGCUAGAUGAGGCCUUCUUUGACACUGCACUGCACACUACAGUCCUGGUUAUCCAGUUACCAAAGUGGAGACCAACUGGGAACAAGAGUUGACUGUUCUACCACAUAUUUCAGGCCAGCUAACUUAGUUCUUCAACCUAGGGAUUCACAUUAGUUAUGUGUGUAUUAUGCUGCUAAUAGUAACAGAGACAGAGUUUUCUGGUCACCUCCCACAGUGACAAAUCAUCACACUGUGUCUGGUAUUGGCCAACAGUUAUCAGAAGUUGCUGCUAGAAACCGCUGCCAGACAGGCAGAACUUAAGUCUUACCUUGCUCUUGGUACUCUUCUUCACAAGGACUCCGGAUAUCACCCUACACCAGCAACACUCCUGUAGCCCUGACAGUAGGGGAUACUUUCAGCCUGGCCUCUAGUCCAAGAUAGGAUUUGGACUUGCCCCCAAUUUAAAAGAAGAAGUUUGCUUCCCUUCCUACAAUCUCUGUGUGGUUUCAAACAUAAAAUUUUUGUUCCUUAAAAUUAAUUCAAGCAUCUUUCAACUAGAUAUUCUCUAUAGUGUCAGCAAAAAAGAAGCCUUAAAUGUUACAUUGGAUUCAAAUGUAUUCGUGUGAGUUUUAAUAUAUUUAUUUAGUACAUCCUUUUGUAAAUCAUCACUGUUUGUCUUCUGUUGUUGAGUGUAGGGGGCACUUCAAGUUUAACUUUCUGGUUUUAUGUGUAUUUUGAUUUGUCUCAUUUGCUCACAAUUCACUCAGAGAAAAGUUUUGUGUGCAAUUAGUGUACGUUGUGUAAAGUUAUGGGGGUACCUAUUAAAGAGUUCCUUCCUUGCAAUAUUGAAGGAGGCUUAUUGCAUCUUCAAAUUACUACUACCCUUGGGCUUCAUAUACUUGUUUUUUAAAAAUUGAGAAACUGGGGCUGGGAUUGUGGCCAGUGGUAGACCACUUGCCUAGCAUGUGUGAGGCAAUAGUUUGAUUCCCAGCACCACAUGUGAAUAAAUAAAAUAAAGUCCACUGACAACCAAAUAAAUAUUUUUUAAAAAUAAGAAACUGCACAAUUGGUUUAACAAGAACAAAAAUUCUCUUAAUGAUUCCUGUGGCCUUUGAUUAUUUCUUUCCUCAUAUUCUGAAUCUUUCUUAAAAAUGAUGUCUAAGUGUUGGCUGCCAGUAUCUGGCUCAAGUUGUUCUUGAAAAUGUUCCUGAAAACUCUGGAGUGCAGAGAGCAUAUCAUUUAAUGGUUGGAUAAAGAUAAACAACUCACUCUAAGCCUGAGACAUUUUAGAUAGUAACCUUUUUCUAAUACUGCAAUGAGUAAAAGAAAGAAGCCAAUGUUCUCAUUUUCUUAAUUAAAAAAUACUGCUAUUUAAGAAAACCAAUUUCUUUGUAGAAAAUAUUGUGUGAUUAUUAGAGAAUAACACUAUCCUUAUAGACUGCCUUAAAAUAAAGAUUGUG